UACGGGGGGAGCAAGCGUUGUUCGGAUUUACUGGGCGUAAAGCGUGCGUAGACGGUUAUUUAAGUCGGGUGUGAAAGCCCCGGGCUCAACCUGGGAAUUGCAUUCGAGACUGAAUAGCUAGGGUACGGUAGAGGGAAGUGGAAUUUCCGGUGUAGCGGUGAAAUGCGUAGAUAUCGGAAGGAACAUCAGUGGCGAAAGCGACUUCCUGGACCAGUACCGACGUUCAGGCACGAAAGCGUGGGGAGCAAACAGG
rnacentral:rRNA from 1 species